rnacentral:tRNA from 1 species
ACUGAAAAAGCUUAUUUAAGUUUUAGCCUUUUAAGUUAAAGAAUUUUCAAUA